UACGUAGGGGGCAAGCGUUAUUCGGAAUUAUUGGGCGUAAAGCGCGCGCAGGCGGUUUCUUAAGUCUGAUGUGAAAGCCCACGGCUCAACCGUGGAGGGUCAUUGGAAACUGGGGAACUUGAGUGCAGAAGGGAAAAGCGGAAUUCCACGUGUAGCGGUGAAAUGCGUAGAGAUGUGGAGGAACACCAGCGGCGAAGGCGGCUUUUUGGUCUGUAACUGACGCUGAGGCGCGAAAGCGUGGGGAGCAAACAGG
rnacentral:rRNA from 1 species